rnacentral:rRNA from 1 species
GGGCCCGCACAAGCGGUGGAGCAUGUGGUUCAAUUCGAAGCAACGCGAAGAACCUUACCAACCUUUGACAUGCCUCGUAUGGUCGCUGGAGACAGCUUCCUUCCCGCAAGGGGCGAGAGCACAGGUGCUGCAUGGCUGUCGUCAGCUCGUGUCGUGAGAUGUUGGGUUAAGUCCCGCAACGAGCGCAACCCUCGCCCUUAGUUGCCAUCAUUCAGUUGGGCACUCUAAGGGGACUGCCGGUGAUAAGCCGCGAGGAAGGUGGGGAUGACGUCAAGUCCUCAUGGCCCUUACAGGUUGGGCUACACACGUGCUACAAUGGCGGUGACAGAGGGAUGCAAUGGAGUAAUCCUGCGCAAAUCUCAAAAAGCCGUCUCAGUUCGGAUUGUGCUCUGCAACUCGAGCACAUGAAGUUGGAAUCGCUAGUAAUCGCAGAUCAGCACGCUGCGGUGAAUACGUUCCCGGGCCUU